AUACGUAGGGAGCGAGCGUUGUCCGGAAUUACUGGGCGUAAGGGCGCGUAGGCGGCGCUUCAAGUCGUCUGUCAAAUGGAAGGGCUUAACCCUUUUUCGCAGACGAAACUGGAGAGCUUGAGAAGCAGAGAGGCAAACAGAAUUCCUGGUGUAGCGGUGAAAUGCGUAGAUAUCAGGAAGAAUACCAGUGGCGAAGGCGGUUUGCUGGCUGCAUACUGACGCUGAAGCGCGAAAGCCAGGGGAGCGAACGGGAUUAGAUACCCCGGUAGUCCUGGCAGUAAACGAUGUAUGCUGGGUGUGAGACUAGCGAUAGUUUCGUGCCGAAGUUAACGCGAUAAGCAUACCGCCUGGGGAGUACGGUCGCAAGAUUGAAACUCAAAUGAAUUGACGGGG
rnacentral:rRNA from 1 species